GAUGAACGCUGGCGGCGUGCCUAAUACAUGCAAGUCGAGCGAACGGACGAGAAGUUUGCUUUUCUGAUGUUAGCGGCGGACGGGUGAGUAACACGUGGAUAACCUACCUAUAAGACUGGGAUAACUUCGGGAAACCGGAGCUAAUACCGGAUAAUAUUUUGAACCGCAUGGUUCAAAAGUGAAAGACGGUCUUGCUGUCACUUAUAGAUGGAUCCGCGCUGCAUUAGCUAGUUGGUAAGGUAACGGCUUACCAAGGCAACGAUGCAUAGCCGACCUGAGAGGGUGAUCGGCCACACUGGAACUGAGACACGGUCCAGACUCCUACGAGAGGCAGCAGUAGGGAAUCUUCCGCAAUGGGCGAAAGCCUGACGGAGCAACGCCGCGUGAGUGAUGAAGGUCUUCGGAUCGUAAAACUCUGUUAUUAGGGAAGAACAUAUGUGUAAGUAACUGUGCACAUCUUGACGGUACCUAAUCAGAAAGCCACGGCUAACUACGUG
rnacentral:rRNA from 1 species